GCGGGUGUAGCUCAGUGGCAGAGCCCUGGCUUCCCAAGCCAGUCGUGUGGGUUCGAUUCCCAUCACCCGCUCCA
rnacentral:tRNA from 1 species